rnacentral:rRNA from 1 species
UACGUAGGGGGCUAGCGUUGUCCAGAAUCAUUGGGCGUAAAGCGCGUGUAGGCGGUCCGGUAAGUCCGCUGUGAAAGUCGGGGGCUCAACCCUCGGAUGCCGGUGGAUACUGUCGGGCUUGAGUACGGAAGAGGCGAGUGGAAUUCCUGGUGUAGCGGUGAAAUGCGCAGAUAUCAGGAGGAACACCAAUUGCGAAGGCAGCUCGCUGGGACGUUACUGACGCUGAGACGCGAAAGCGUGGGGAGCAAACAGG